rnacentral:rRNA from 1 species
GGGAAAGAUUUAUCGGUAAGGGAUCGGCCCGCGUUGGAUUAGCUAGUUGGUGGGGUAAAGGCCUACCAAGGCGACGAUCCAUAGCUGGUCUGAGAGGAUGAUCAGCCACAUUGGGACUGAGACACGGCCCAAACUCCUACGGGAGGCAGCAGUGGGGAAUAUUGGACAAUGGGCGCAAGCCUGAUCCAGCCAUGCCGCGUGAGUGAUGAAGGCCCUAGGGUUGUAAAGCUCUUUCACCGGAGAAGAUAAUGACGGUAUCCGGAGAAGAAGCCCCGGCUAACUUCGUGCCAUCAGCCGCGGUAAUACGAAGGGGGCUAGCGUUGUUCGGAAUUACUGGGCGUAAAGCGCACGUAGGCGGACAUUUAAGUCAGGGGUGAAAUCCCAGAGCUCAACUCUGGAACUGCCUUUGAUACUGGGUGUCUUGAGUAUGGAAGAGGUGAGUGGAAUUCCGAGUG